GAAAAGAAAUCAACCGAGAUUCCGUAAGUAGCGACGAGCGAACGCGGACUAGCCCUUAAGCUGAUUUGGUUCUAGGAAAACACUCUGGAAAGAGUGGCCAUAGAAGGUGAUAGCCCUGUAUCUGAAAGGGCCAUUUCAGUGAAGACGAGUAGGGCGGGGCACGUGAAACCCUGUCUGAACAUGGGGGGACCAUCCUCCAAGGCU
rnacentral:rRNA from 1 species